UACUACUUCGCACCCAAAUUCUUACGGCUGCACAUCCCGUCGGGCUUUCAAAAGUGUUGUGUCAACUAUGAAAGUUAAUAUAAACGAACGAAUGCCGCUAAGAGAAAAGGGGCACCCGAAAGGAAGACAGCCUCAUGAAAAAAGGCUUCUCAACCAGGAGAUACAAGUUCAGCUUCCUUGGUCUUGGUGUGAACAGAAGUUUUCAGUUCACUUGGAUAAACACCCAAAGCGGCACUCCUGGGUCUUAGGGGCUCUGAGCCAGGUCCUUGUGCAUUCCAGGCAACCACUCCACCAAUAAGUGACACUCCCCAACCCCACAUAAUUUUUAUUUUCCCAGAAGUAAUGAUGGCAGAGUAUAACAGCAACUUGACACAGCCUCACCAACUGGUGCCUUGGGAGUGGACCCACUCGUGUUUGUUUGGGUUUUCUGUGGGACUCAGAAUCCAUCCCAGGGCCAUGCACAUGGCAAGCACCCACCAAUGAACUACAGCUGGAGGACCCACUGGAGUGGAGGACAUUGAACGCUAUGCUAGGAUUUCUAGGGUUCCUACUGCGUCAGUUUUAGUAGUGCCUGUGCUUUACCUUUUCCAGUGGAAAGAAAAAAGAAAAGGAGGAGGAAGAGAGGAGAGAAGGAGGAAGGAAAGAGGUGGGGGAGAGAGGAAAGGAGAAAGGAAAGGGGGGCAUGUGAACCUCAGUGUUCCCACAGGUAGGAGGCUGGUGGCUCAGUUUGCCUUACCUUGAAACAAUCCUAUGAGGGACAUACUAUUCCCUUUGCUACAGACAGAACACCAAGACACAGAGUACUUAAGUAAUCUUCCUUAACCUGCCAGUAUUAAAAAAAAAAAACUCACCUGGGAACUGUAGGGUCCAGAUGUUUAAACACCACACUGCCUACACUCUCAGUGAA